GGGGGGGGGGGGGGGGGGGGGGGGGGGGGGGGGGGGGGGGGGGGGGGGCCUCUCGGGAGCGGCACCGGCCUCUCGCGAGCGGGGGCUGCCGCCGCCCCGGAGCGCCCGGCCGCACCGGCCUGUCCGGGUCCCCGCUCCCCAGCGCAUCUCCCGCAGCGCCCGGCUCCGGCCUCCCGCUUGCCGCUCGCCUCUGCCCUGAUCGCUGCGCCCGCUGGGUGCCCGCACCCGGCAGCGCAUUGCUUUGGGGUGACAUGGAAGUGUCCCGGGAGCCUUGUUUUGCAUCACUAGAAGUAGCAGGCGUGGAGCAACUCUGUGCAGGUGUUCCCUGGGAGCCUUGUUCUGCAUCACUAGAAUUAGCAGGCGUGGAGCAACUCUGUGCAGGUGUUCUGUUGGGAUUUCGCUCAGCCUGCGGUUUACUUCACGUCCUGCAUCAAGGCUCUGCCCUGUCUCUUCAUGUUCCAGUCCCAUUCCUUCCCUUGUUUCCGUCACUGCAUCAUUCAAGCAGUAUCUAUUCAAAAGCAAUAGAAGCAGGCCUACGUAGAUGCAGUGGAUGGAUCUACUUCAGCUCCAAGGGAGAUCUAUAUUCAGAUCACUUCGGAGUAGGUAAUCUGGUAUUCUGUACGAGCAAAACUGCCAUAAACCAGUACAGCUUAUUCCAGCCUUUUCUUCUCCCACAAAAGCAAAAUAAGCUAUACCAGCAAAAGCUCAGUGCUGCUUGUGAUUACAUCUACACCUGGGGCUUUCAUGAGCCCGGGAAUGAUAAGCACAAAUUGUGCUUCACUGCAUGCCUAACCAACGGCAGUGCUGGGAAAAGCUUGCAGGAUCGUGCAGAUCAGUGCCACAGAUAGGCAGCUCAGAGCACAGUCAUUAGCAGAAUCCUGAUGUCCUCAGAUCUUUUUAAAUGCAGAGUUUUUAGUGAUGACUGGUUCACAGUGGACUAGUAUCUGCUGAUAGUUUAGCACUAAACAUACUGCAAAUGUUUACGCUGAAUGCUACUGAUCAGGAUUAAUAGAUUUGCCAGCUGAACAAAAUGAGAUUUGUAGACCUUCAGGAGAAGGAUGUUUCAGAUCAUGUCCUCCUAGAGGAAUUGGGAGCCUCAGCCAUUACUUGGGUACUAUCUGCUCUUUUCACUGGUUGAUGGGAGAAAAGCUUAAGUGCUGGAGAAGACAGUAUAUCCUGUGUCUGCGGUUCUCCCUCCAAGAUUUGUUUAUGUGGGGAAACUGUGCCCAAGAGGGCUCAAUAUGAAUUUACAUCAUAAUCAUAUCUGUGGAAUGGAUCUCAGUCUGUCAGCACCCAGAGACCUUUCUGGGCUUAAACCCCAGUCCAUGCUAGGGGCAGAUCUGAACUGUCUGCAGCCAUCAUCAGGUGUUCCCGGCAGAAAUACUGCAGCAGGUCAUGAGCAGGCAGCUGUUUGCUAGUGCCUCUCCACAGAAAUGAGAACAACUUCAACAGUGGGUUUUGCAAUAAAGGGGCUGUCAUAGGUGUCCUGAUGCAGAGUUUCUAAGUGACAGCUGGCUGCCAGGUCAGCCCCAAAGAAGCUGAGGCCUCGACCAUUGUAACUAUCAGGUUUGGCCAAGUCCUGAGUAAACUGUAGCUUACUCACUGUAUUCUCUUUAAAAUUAGGAGAAUCACAGCCUGGUUGUCAUAAUUGGUCUUCUACCACUGGAGAUGAGCUCUGCAGCACUGCUUUUACUUUAGCAGUUUGCCACAGUAAUUGCAAUGAAAAACAACCCCAAAACCCCAAAGCAUAGAACACUACGGAUAGGGGGAGGUUCUUUUUACAAUACAAGUAUAAAGCAAGUUGCAAAACUGUUGACAAAAUUUCUCUGACCUCUGACAGUAUUUUUCUGAGGAGAAAUUUGAUAAUGACUGUUGCUACUAUUCUUUUUUUUUUUCCAGAUGCAUUUCUGUGUAUGGUCUGCUUCUCUACUGGGAUUGCCAAAAUUCUCAUGGCAACUUGUCAUCUCAGUCAUUCUGUUAGCAACUGAGAACAGUGAUUGGUCCCUUUUUAUGAUCAUUGUUCACUUGCACUCUCACUUUAUCUGUUCAGAUUUUUAGAAAACAGUCUUUAAGAUACUUUUAGUACUACUUGUCUUUCAGAUAUUCCUAGCAGAAGAAAAAAAUCUGAGCUUCAUAAACUAGUAGUAAUUAUAUUAAUUAUGUGUCCAUCUAUAAAAAUUUGACAUAAUUUUACUGUGUUUCCUGAGGAUACAUUUUGAUUUCAGAAUAUAAAGGUCAAUUUAUACAUUUUACCUUUUGUACUGAUCCUGACAACAUGGACAACUAGAUGUGAAUUCUGAGCUUUAAACUUAUUAAAGACAAAGAAAGAAAACCCUUAAAUCCUUUGAAGUCUGUAAUCCAGUGUAAUCUCAGUCCUUCAACUACAUGUAUGUGUUCAGGAUCAUGCACAUGUUCUAAUCUGUUGUGGAGACCCUGUAACCAAGUCAUUGUGAAAAUUAUAAAGAAUACUUCAUUUAUGCAACCAAGUCAUUGUGAAAAUUAUAAAUAAUACUUCAUUUAUGCAGGUGUUUACAUUUCAAACCCUUUUGCUGGAG
rnacentral:lncRNA from 12 species